CCUAGUUUCCCAGUGCUGGAAUAUAGAAAAUGGAUGGACAAGUAAAUCCCACUCAGCACCCAUAGUCCAGCUGGACCUACCAUGAAAGACUUCUGAAUCCAGGAAGAGAAACUGACUGGGCAACAUGUUAUUCAGAAACAGGACCUUGCCUGUCACUCAGGAUGGAGUUCAGUGGUCCUAUCAUGGCUCAUUAUAGCCUCAAACUCCCAGGCUCAAGCAAUCCUACCAUGUCAGCCUUCCCAGUAGCUGGGACUACAGGAAGUGACCUCACAAUGACUCAAGCUACCACAUACUGUUGAUUGUGAUGAAAUGCCAGUUGAAGCAUAUGUCCUGCGAGCUUAGGGGUGCUACAAGUUGACCACUGCAGCAGUAAAGAUGACUCUGAAGAAUGGCAUGGGAUGGAUCCUUUCGAAUGCACUUGAGCAGCGGUCUCCAACCACAGGGCCACAGAGCUGGAGGUG
rnacentral:lncRNA from 1 species